rnacentral:rRNA from 1 species
GACGUAGGCGGUCUGUCAAGUCGGAUGUGAAAUCUCCCGGCUCAACUGGGAGGGUGCAUUCGAUACUGAUGGACUAGAGUGCAGCAGAGGAAAGUAGAAUUCCCGGUGUAGUGGUGAAAUGCGUAGAUAUCGGGAAGAAUACUAGUGGCGAAGGCGGCUUUCUGGGCUGUAACUGACGCUGAGGUCCGAAGGCGUGGGUAGCAAACAGGAUUAGAUACCCUGGUAGUCC